rnacentral:rRNA from 1 species
AUUGAACGCUGGCGGCAUGCUUUACACAUGCAAGUCGAACGGUAACAGGCCGCAAGGUGCUGACGAGUGGCGAACGGGCGAGUAAUGCAUCGGAACGUGCCCAGUCGUGGGGGAUAACUUCUCGAAAGAGUAGCUAAUACCGCAUACGAUCUAUGGAUGAAAGCGGGGGACCGUAAGGCCUCGCGCGAUUGGAUCGGCCGAUGUCAGAUUAGGUAGUUGGUGGGGUAAAGGCUCACCAAGCCAACGAUCUGUAGCUGGUCUGAGAGGACGACCAGCCACACUGGGACUGAGACACGGCCCAGACUCCUACGGGAGGGAGCAGUGUGGAAUGUUGGACAAUGGGCGCAAGCCUGAUCCAGCAAUGCCGCGUGCAGGAAGAAGGCCUUCGGGUUGUAAACUGCUUUUGUGCGGAACGAAACGGCUCUGGUUAAUACCCGGGGCUAAUGACGGUACCGUAAGAAUAAGCACCGGCUAACUACGUG